rnacentral:rRNA from 1 species
GAUGAACGCUAGCUACAGGCUUAACACAUGCAAGUCGAGGGGAAACGAUGAGAGAGCUUGCUCUCUUAGGCGUCGACCGGCGCACGGGUGAGUAACGCGUAUCCAACCUACCCAUUACAGGGGGAUAACCUUGCGAAAGUAAGACUAAUACCCCAUGGCAUUUUAUGGUGGCAUCAUUAUAGGAUUAAAGAUUUAUUGGUAAUGGAUGGGGAUGCGUCUGAUUAGCUUGUUGGCGGGGUAACGGCCCACCAAGGCAACGAUCAGUAGGGGUUCUGAGAGGAAGGUCCCCCACAUUGGAACUGAGACACGGUCCAAACUCCUACGGGAGGCAGCAGUGAGGAAUAUUGGUCAAUGGGCGAGAGCUUGAACCAGCCAAGUAGCGUGCAGGAUGACGGCCCUAUGGGUUGUAAACUGCUUUUAUAGGGGAAUAAAGUGAGCUACGUGUAGUUUAUUGCAUGUACCCUAUGAAUAAGGACCGACUAAUUCCGUG